AACAGGAUUAGAUACCCUGGUAGUCCAUGCCGUAAACGGUGGGUACUAGGUGUGGGUUUCCUUCCACGGGAUCCGUGCCGUAGCUAACGCAUUAAGUACCCCGCCUGGGGAGUACGGCCGCAAGGCUAAAACUCAAAGAAAUUGACGGGGGCCCGCACAAGCGGCGGAGCAUGUGGAUUAAUUCGAUGCAACGCGAAGAACCUUACCUGGGUUUGACAUACACCGGAAACCUGCAGAGAUGUAGGCCCCCUUGUGGUCGGUGUACAGGUGGUGCAUGGCUGUCGUCAGCUCGUGUCGUGAGAUGUUGGGUUAAGUCCCGCAACGAGCGCAACCCUUAUCUUAUGUUGCCAGCGCGUAAUGGCGGGGACUCGUGAGAGACUGCCGGGGUCAACUCGGAGGAAGGUGGGGACGACGUCAAGUCAUCAUGCCCCUUAUGUCCAGGGCUUCACACAUGCUACAAUGGCCGGUACAGAGGGCUGCGAUACCGCGAGGUGGAGCGAAUCCCUUAAAGCCGGUCUCAGUUCGGAUCGGGGUCUGCAACUCGACCCCGUGAAGUUGGAGUCGCUAGUAAUCGCAGAUCAGCAACGCUGCGGUGAAUACGUUCCCGGGCCUUGUACACACCGCCCGUCACGCCAUGGGAGUGGGUUGCAAAAGAAGUAGGUAGCUUAACCUUCGGGAGGGCGCUUACCACUUUGUGAUUCAUGACUGGGGUGAAGUCGUAACAAGGUAACC
rnacentral:rRNA from 1 species